AGAGGUGCAGCUCAGUGUUAGAGCACAUGCAUUGCACGCAUAAGGCCCUGAGUUCAAUCCUCAACACCACAA
rnacentral:tRNA from 1 species